UCAACCUGAGAGUUUGAUCCUGGCUCAGAGCGAACGCUGGCGGCAGGCCUAACACAUGCAAGUCGAACGAACUCUUCGGAGUUAGUGGCGGACGGGUGAGUAACACGUGGGAACGUGCCUUUAGGUUCGGAAUAACUCAGGGAAACUUGUGCUAAUACCGAAUGUGCCCUUCGGGGGAAAGAUUUAUCGCCUUUAGAGCGGCCCGCGUCUGAUUAGCUUGUUGGUGGGGUAAUGGCCCACCAAGGCGACGAUCAGUAGCUGGUCUGAGAGGAUGACCAGCCACAUUGGGACUGAGACACGGCCCAAACUCCUACGGGAGGCAGCAGUGGGGAAUCUUGCGCAAUGGGCGAAAGCCUGACGCAGCCAUGCCGCGUGGAUGAUGAAGGUCUUAGGAUUGUAAAAUCCUUUCACCGGUGAAGAUAAUGAC
rnacentral:rRNA from 1 species